rnacentral:rRNA from 1 species
UACGUAGGGCGCAAGCGUUGUCCGGAAUUAUUGGGCGUAAAGAGCUCGUAGGCGGCCUGUCGCGUCUGCUGUGAAAUCCCGGGGCUUAACCCCGGGCGUGCAGUGGAUACGGGCUGGCUGGAGGCAGGCAGGGGAGAAUGGAAUUCCCGGUGUAGCGGUGAAAUGCGCAGAUAUCGGGAGGAACACCGGUGGCGAAGGCGGUUCUCUGGGCCUGUUCUGACGCUGAGGAGCGAAAGCCAGGGGAGCAAACGGG